rfam:Triticum aestivum genome assembly, contig: Triticum_aestivum_CS42_TGACv1_scaffold_592030_7BS
AAUAUACUCCCUCCGUCCGGAAAUACUCGUCGGAGGAAUGAAUGUAUCUAGAUGUAUUUUAGUUCUAGAUAUAUUCACUUUUAUGCAUUUCUUCGACAAGUAUUUCCAGACAGAGGGAGUAUGAA